UAAUCUUUUUGGAGUAGAUCCUUAUUUAGUUAUGGUAAACUCGCACCUAACUACUCAGAAUCACCCCUUAUCGCAAGCUUGACUAUAUUAUUGAUAUUAAAAAAAUAAAGGACAACUAUUACGUUAACAAUAAC
rnacentral:pre_miRNA from 13 species